AGAAAAGAAAAAAGGAGUGUUGUUGAACUUUGUUUGGAGAAGUGAUGAGGCAUGUGCAGAGUUGCUUUUUUGUAGUUGGGAAUAGAGUGAUGAACAAUAACAGGACAUGUUGAGUUGAAUAGCGACCGUCCGUGAGUGCAAAGAAGACCCACAAGACAAACACAGAGAUAUGGCCACAUAUAGGGGCAUGUAGGUGUGAACCUAUCUAUUUUAUAUGUUUUAUUUCAGGAAUGUUACUUCCCUUAAACAACCACUUUCCAAAUACUUACUUACUCCUCACUCAAAUAUUAAUUUUUUUGUUACGUAUAUUUGUAGUAUUGAAUGGGUGUAAAUCUCAUUUUGUGAAUUGAUUUUAUAGAAUUGAGUUAGGCUUAAAGUUUAUUUCUUAAUAUGGUAUCAGAGUCAUUUUUUAACUUAUCUUAGUAAGAAUUUGUUGGGUUUAUCAGGCACCCGCUAUCGAACCG
rnacentral:lncRNA from 1 species